AAGGUCGUUGUUGGAUCUCGGGAUCGAGCUGACUGUCCGCCGCAAGGCGGGCUACCGUCUGUCCCAGCCCCUGCCUCUCGGCACCCCCUCGAUGCUCUUAGCUGAGUGUCCCGUGGGGUCCGAAGCAUUUUCUUUGAAAAAAUAAGAGUGUUCAAAGCAGAAUACGCCUGAAUACCGCAGCUAGGAAUAAUGGUAUAGGACUUUGGUUCUAUUUUGUGGGGUUUCUCUCUGAACUGGGGCCAUGAUUAAGUGGGACGGCCGGGGGCAUUCAUAUUGUGCCGCUAGAGGUGAAAUUCUUGGACCAGCGAUAGACGGAGGAAAGCGAAAGCAUUUGCCAAGAACGGAAGACGAUCAGAUACCGUCGUAGUUCCGACCAUAAACGAUGACAACUAGCGAUCCGGCGGCGUUAUUCCCAUGACCCGCCGGGCAGCAUCCGGGAUACCAAAGUCUUUGGGUU
rnacentral:ncRNA from 1 species